rnacentral:rRNA from 1 species
GACGAACGCUGGCGGCGUGCUUAACACAUGCAAGUCGAACGGAAAGGCCCUGCUUUGGUGGGGCGCUCGAGUGGCGAACGGGUGUGUCACGCGUGUGUCACCUGCCCUUGACUUUGGGAUAACUUCAGGAAACUGGGGCUAAUACCGGAUAGGAGCUCCCGCUGCAUGGUGGGGGGUGGAGAGUUUCGGCGGUUGGGGAGGGACUCGCGGCUUAUCAGCUUGUUGGUGGGGUAGUGGUUUACCAAGGCUUUGACGGGUAGCCGGCCUGAGAGGGUCACCGGCAAAAUUGGGACUGGGAUACGGCCCAGACUCCUACGGGAGGCAGCAGGGGGAAAUUUUGCACAAUGGGGGGAGCCCGGAGGCAGCAAGGCCGCGUGCGGAAUGACGGCCUUGGGGUUGUAACCCGCUUUGGCCUGUGACGAAGCGUGUGUGACGGUAAUGGGUAAAGAAGCACCGGCUAACUACGUG